rnacentral:tRNA from 2 species
UAGAGCAGUUUGGUAGCUCAUAAGUCUCAUAACCUUGGGGUUGCGGGUUCGAUUCCC